AGAACGAACGCUGGCGGCAGGCUUAACACAUGCAAGUCGAACGGUUGUAGCAAUACAGCAGUGGCAGACGGGUGAGUAACACGUGGGAACCUUCCUAGGGGUACGGAACAACUCAGGGAAACUUGAGCUAAUACCGUAUACGUCCGUGAGGAGAAAGAUUUAUCGCCCCUAGACGGGCCCGCGUAGGAUUAGGUAGUUGGUGAGGUAACGGCUCACCAAGCCUACGAUCCUUAGCUGAUCUGAGAGGAUGAUCAGCCACACUGGGACUGAGACACGGCCCAGACUCCUACGGGAGGCAGCAGUGGGGAAUCUUGGACAAUGGGCGCAAGCCUGAUCCAGCCAUGCCGCGUGAGUGAAGAGGCCUUCGGGUUGUAAAGCUCUUUACCAGGGACGAUAAUGACGUACUGGAGAAUAAGCCCGGACAACUUCGUGCCCAGCCAGCCGAC
rnacentral:rRNA from 1 species